rnacentral:rRNA from 1 species
AACGAACGCUGGCGGCAGGCCUAACACAUGCAAGUCGAGCGAGGACUUCGGUUCUAGCGGCGGACGGGUGAGUAACGCGUGGGAAUGUGCCCUUCUCUACGGAAUAGCCCUGGGAAACUGGGAGUAAUACCGUAUACGCCCUAUUGGGGAAAGAUUUAUCGGAGAAGGAUCAGCCCGCGUUGGAUUAGGUAGUUGGUGGGGUAAUGGCCUACCAAGCCGACGAUCCAUAGCUGGUUUGAGAGGAUGAUCAGCCACACUGGGACUGAGACACGGCCCAGACUCCUACGGGAGGCAGCAGUGGGGAAUCUUAGACGAUGGGGGCAACCCUGAUCUAGCCAUGCCGCGUGAGUGAUGAAGGCCUUAGGGUUGUAAAGCUCUUUCAGCUGGGAAGAUAAUGACGGUACCAGCAGAAGAAGCCCCGGCUAACUCCGUG